rnacentral:rRNA from 2 species
GACAUGACUCUCGGCAAUGGAUAUCUCGGCUCUCGCAUCGAUGAAGAGCGCAGCGAAAUGCGAUAUGUGGUGCGAAUUGCAGAAUCCCGCGAACCAUCGAGUCUUUGAACGCAAGUUGCGCCCGAGGCCAACCGGCCAAGGGCACGUCCGCCUGGGCGUCAGUC